rnacentral:rRNA from 1 species
AGCUCAAAUUUAAAAUCUGGCGGUUCUUGUAGCCGUCCGAGUUGUAAUUUAGAGAAGUGUUAUCCGCGCUGGACCGUGUACAAGUCUCCUGGAAUGGAGCGUCAUAGAGGGUGAGAAUCCCGUCUUUGACACGGACUGCCAGGGCAUUGUGAUGCGCUCUCAAAGAGUCGAGUUGUUUGGGAAUGCAGCUCAAAAUGGGUGGUAAAUUCCAUCUAAAGCUAAAUAUUGAGGAGAGACCGAUAGCGAACAAGUACCGUGAGGGAAAGAUGAAAAGAACUUUGGAAAGAGAGUUAAACAGUACGUGAAAUUGCUGAAAGGGAAACGCUUGAAGUCAGUCGCGUUGUUCAGGACUCAGCCUUGCUUUGCUUGGUGUACUUCCUGUUCGACGGGUCAGCAUCAAUUUUGGUCGGUGGAUAAAGGCUUAGAGAAUGUGGCAUCUUCGGGUGUGUUAUAGCUCUGGGUCUCAUACAUCGGCUGGGAUUGAGGAACUCAGCACGCCGCAAGGCCGGGGACUUGUCCCACGUACGUGCUUAGGAUGCUGGCAUAAUGGCUUUAAUCGACCCGUCUUGAAACACGGACCAAGGAGUCUAACAUGCCUGCGAGUGUUUGGGUGGAAAACCCGAGCGCGUAAUGAAAGUGAAAGUUGAGAUCCCUGUCGUGGGGAGCAUCGACGCCCGGAGCAGACCUUCUGUGACGCAUCCGCGGUAGAGCAUGUAUGUUGGGACCCGAAAGAUGGUGAACUAUGCCUGAAUAGGGUGAAGC